UACGUAGGGGGCAAGCGUUGUCCGGAAUCAUUGGGCGUAAAGAGCGUGUAGGCGGUUCGGUAAGUCGGCUGUGAAAGUCCAGGGCUCAACCCUGGGAUGCCGGUCGAUACUGCCGGACUAGAGUUCGGAAGAGGAGAGUGGAAUUCCUGGUGUAGCGGUGAAAUGCGCAGAUAUCAGGAAGAACACCUAUGGCGAAGGCAGCUCUCUGGGACGGUACUGACGCUGAGACGCGAAAGCGUGGGGAGCGAACAGG
rnacentral:rRNA from 1 species